rnacentral:rRNA from 1 species
GACGAACGCUGUCGGCGUGCUUAACACAUGCAAGUCGAACGGAAAGGCCCUGCUUUUGUGGGGUGCUCGAGUGGCGAACGGGUGAGUAACACGUGAGUAACCUGCCCUUGACUUUGGGAUAACUUCAGGAAACUGGGGCUAAUACCGGAUAGGAGCUCCUGCUGCAUGGUGGGGGUUGGAAAGUUUCGGCGGUUGGGGAUGGACUCGCGGCUUAUCAGCUUGUUGGUGGGGUAGUGGCUUACCAAGGCUUUGACGGGUAGCCGGCCUGAGAGGGUGACCGGCCACAUUGGGACUGAGAUACGGCCCAGACUCCUACGGGAGGCAGCAGUGGGGAAUAUUGCACAAUGGGCGGAAGCCUGAUGCAGCAACGCCGCGUGCGGGAUGACGGCCCUCGGGUUGUAAACCGCUUUCGCCUGUGACGAAGCGUGAGUGACGGUAAUGGGUAAAGAAGCACCGGCUAACUACGUGCCAGCAGCCGCGGUGAUACGUAGGGUGCGAGCGUUGUCCGGAUUUAUUGGGCGUAAAGGGCUCGUAGGUGGUUGAUCGCGUCGGAAGUGUAAUCUUGGGGCUUAACCCUGAGCGUGCUUUCGAUACGGGUUGACUUGAGGAAGGUAGGGGAGAAUGGAAUUCCUGGUGGAGCGGUGGAAUGCGCAGAUAUCAGGAGGAACACCAGUGGCGAAGGCGGUUCUCUGGGCCUUUCCUGACGCUGAGGAGCGAAAGCGUGGGGAGCGAACAGGCUUAGAUACCCUGGUAGUCCACGCUGUAAACGGUGGGUACUAGGUGUGGGGUCCAUUCCACGGGUUCCGUGCCGUAGCUAACGCUUUAAGUACCCCGCCUGGGGAGUACGGCCGCAAGGCUAAAACUCAAAGGAAUUGACGGGGCCCCGCACAAGCGGCGGAGCAUGCGGAUUAAUUCGAUGCAACGCGUAGAACCUUACCUGGGUUUGACAUGGAUCGGGAGUGCUCAGAGAUGGGUGUGCCUCUUUUGGGGUCGGUUCACAGGUGGUGCAUGGCUGUCGUCAGCUCGUGUCGUGGGAUGUUGGGUUAAGUCCCGCAACGAGCGCAACCCUUGUUCACUGUUGCCAGCACGUUAUGGUGGGGACUCAGUGGAGACCGCCGGGGUCAACUCGGAGGAAGGUGGGGAUGACGUCAAGUCAUCAUGCCCCUUAUGUCCAGGGCUUCACGCAUGCUACAAUGGCUGGUACAGAGAGUGGCGAGCCUGUGAGGGUGAGCGAAUCUCGGAAAGCCGGUCUCAGUUCGGAUUGGGGUCUGCAACUCGACCUCAUGAAGUCGGAGUCGCUAGUAAUCGCAGAUCAGCAACGCUGCGGUGAAUACGUUCCCGGG